rnacentral:rRNA from 1 species
UGGGGAAUAUUGGACAAUGGGCGCAAGCCUGAUCCAGCCAUGCCGCGUGCGGGAAGAAGGCCUUCGGGUUGUAAACCGCUUUUGUCAGGGAAGAAACGGUCUGUCUUAAUACUGCGGACUAAUGACGGUACCUGAAGAAUAAGCACCGGCUAACUACGUGCCAGCAGCCGCGGUAAUACGUAGGGUGCAAGCGUUAAUCGGAAUUACUGGGCGUAAAGCGUGCGCAGGCGGCUUUGCAAGACAGAUGUGAAAUCCCCGGGCUCAACCUGGGAACUGCAUUUGUGACUGCAAGGCUGGAGUGCGGCAGAGGGGGAUGGAAUUCCGCGUGUAGCAGUGAAAUGCGUAGAUAUGCGGAGGAACACCGAUGGCGAAGGCAAUCCCCUGGGCCUGCACUGACGCUCAUGCACGAAAGCGUGGGGAGCAAACAGGAUUAGAUACCCUCGUAGUCCCUGAGCGGGCUGGCAAGGCGCAU